GCAGAUGUGGUGGAAUUGGUAGACACGUAGCCUUGAGGGGGCUAUGCCUUUGGGCGUGAGAGUUCGAGUCUCUCCAUCUGCACCA
rnacentral:tRNA from 1 species